UUAAAUCAAGAUCAUAGCGUCUUCUUUAUUUAACAGCUGGCCACCGGUGGCAGCACUGAGCCAAAAACUAAUCCUGCACGGCCUUUGAUUUCAUGUGACUUGUAUUGACUUUAAAAAGCCCCUGUCUUGGUCUGGGUAAAUCAGGAUUUGAUUUAUUACUUAUAUUCCAUCUGAUAAGCAGCUGAGAAGACUGUCAUGCGGCCGCAGUAGAAAGUGACCAACUACAAUAAAAAAA